UACGUAGGUGGCAAGCGUUAUCCGGAUUUACUGGGUGUAAAGGGCGUGUAGGCGGGAAAGCAAGUCAGAUGUGAAAACCAUGGGCUCAACCUGUGGCCUGCAUUUGAAACUGUUUUUCUUGAGUACUGGAGAGUCAGACGGAAUUUCUAGUGUAGCGGUGAAAUGCGUAGAUAUUAGGAGGAACACCAGUGGCGAAGGCGGUCUGCUGGACAGCAACUGACGCUGAGGCGCGAAAGCGUGGGGAGCAAACAGG
rnacentral:rRNA from 1 species